GAUGAAAGAACGUAGCGAAAUGCGAUAAGUAAUGUGAAUUGCAGAAUUCAGUGAAUCAUCGAAUCUUUGAACGCACAUUGCGCCCCCUGGUAUUCCGGGGGGCAUGCCUGUCCGAGCGUCAUUACUGCCCUCAAGCCCGGCUUGCGUGUUGGGCCUCGUCCCCCCCCCGGUCUAGGGGUGGACGGGCCCGAAAGGCAGCGGCGGCGCCGUGCCCGGUCCUCGAGCGUAUGGGGCUUUGUCACCCGCUCUGGAGGCCCGGCCGGAAGCCAGCCGACCAAACCACCCCCCCAACUUUAACCGGUUGACCUCGGAUCAGGCAGGGAUACCCGCUGAACUUAAGCAUAUCAAUAAGCGGAGGA
rnacentral:misc_RNA from 1 species